GAGUGCUCCCCGAGUGUCCACCGUCGGCCUGUUCUGUUCCAGGGGCAGGGCCACAUCUUUGUGUGCCAAGGAGGGGACUGGUGGGCUGGAGUCCCAGGGGGAGAUUAUUCCAAGUAGGGGCUCCAGAAAGAUGGCUCGUUCGGAACACCACCUGGAUACGGCUGU
rnacentral:sRNA from 1 species